rnacentral:rRNA from 1 species
UACGAGGGGUCCUAGCGUUGUUCGGAAUCAUUGGGCGUAAAGGGUGCGUAGGUGGCCAUUCAAGUCAGUUGUGAAAUCCCCGGGCUCAACCCGGGAAGUGCUUCUGAUACUGUUUGGCUUGAGUACUGGAGAGGAUAGUAGAAUUCCUGGUGUAGUGGUGAAAUACGUAGAUAUCAGGAGGAAUACCGGUGGCGAAGGCGGCUAUCUGGCCAUGUACUGACACUGAAGCACGAAAGCGUGGGGAGCAAACAGG